GUGGUACACUGCUCUGGUGCUUGCCUACGCCUCAACCUGGCAGAAAGAGAUGCGAGAAAGGAAUGAGGAAUAUUAAAGAUGAAUCACUGAACAUUACAGUGAGUGGAGACGACAGAAGCAAUGGGAGGUGAGGACGCUCGGCCAGCAGCCGCGUGGCUUCUUUUGCUCUCCUUCAGCACGCCGUGACUCCUUGAAGCUCUCUCCAUCACCUGGCUCCCAUUCUGAUUAUGUUCCCGAGCCUGGAUGGAGACUGAGCUGAAAGUGCUUCUUGCUCCUGGUGAAAUGCCCUCCGGCACGCCAAGGCCAGGA